UACAGAUCAAAUAUUUCAUAAUCUCACCUUUUGGAAUGAUCAUCUUGUCAUUCUUAUCCAGGGACUUGCCUUCCUAAAUCAGAGGAAGUGCCCUGGAGCCAAUGUGUGCUUCUGUGUAUCUAAAAUUAAGUAUCCAGUUGGUGGUUAAAUUAAGACCUGACCUUGUACAACUGAAACAUAAGCGGUCUCUGGCACACGGUAAAGUAUUACCCAUGACUUCUCUAGACUCUCAUCAAAAGAAACGCAAGCCUACAGAGGUAUAAUAAGAUUAUCUCUGUCCUGAUUGGUUCAAAGAACUCUUAUGAAAACAAAGGACCUGCCAAUUCAGCUGCAGGGAGUGUUGCUACUGAUGGAACAAAACCAAACCACUUGGAAUUAACGCACAAUUUAAAGAGAUGGGGUUUGACCUUGUUGUCCAGGCUGGUUUCAAACUCCUGAGUUCGAGCAAUCUACCCACCCUUCAAAGUGUUGGGAUCACAGGUGACUCUUAGAAUCAUCUAGUCAAAAUGGAAUUGUGACUGGACGUUACCUUCACAUACUGUGGGUUGAACCUGUCCCUCAAAGUGGUCUGGGCCUGAGAACCACUGCAGGAGACAAGAAGAAGCCACAGGAGCAUUUUAGGUAGGAAAAGAUCAUGAUCAGCUUGAGCAAUUUCUCCUCCCUUUCCUUGUUUUGCAGAUAUUUUACCAUUACAAUAUAGAUGGAGAUUUUCAUCUAUUAAUAAAAGAUGUUCUCUAUUCACAAAUGGAAAUGGAGCAACAGUACACAAUUUCUGCCCCAGAAUUCAUGGCUGGUGCAGGUAAAAAGCUCUUUACAGUUUGCUAGUCAAUCCAUUUGCUUUACCUAAAAAGUUCAUUUAUAUAGUUUUAAAUGGUUUGCAGAAGUCUUUUGAACAGUACUCUUGAAGUUUCAUGUCUUUUCCUCAAAACUUGACAGUCUUGGGAGUGACAAAAAGGGAGAAAAUAUACAAACAUAUGUGAUAUAUUCAUAGCUGGACUUAAACAAUGAUAAAAGAAAAUUUUCAUGUUACAGCCUACUUCCAGUAGAAUUUUACAAUCCUACUAUCUAGUAGGAAUCAUUUCCUCUGAGUGGUGUUCUCACUCUGAGCAAAUCAUUUCUUAAGUAGCAAAUUCUCCUCACAAUUUGAUGUAUAUCAGUUUAACCGAAAGACUUUUCAGAAACCUAAUAUGUAGCAAAGCUCACAAGGUCUUUAGAACAUGACACAUCAAAAAAGAUGAAGGUAGAAAUAACAAAAAUGUGCCCUUAGGACUUAAGUUGGAUGGGAUCCCCUUUCUCUGGCAUGGAGUCUAGGUAUCUGGAGAGUACCUUUUUUUUUUUUUUUUUUAAGUGCUC
rnacentral:lncRNA from 10 species